rnacentral:misc_RNA from 1 species
GAUGAAGAACGCAGCGAACUGCGAUAAGUAAUGCGAAUUGCAGAAUUCAGUGAAUCAUCGAGUCUUUGAACGCACAUUGCGCCCCCUGGCAUUCCGGGGGGCAUGCCUGUCCGAGCGUCAUUACUGCCCCUCAAGCACGGCUUGUGUGUUGGGCCCCGUCCUCCGAUCCCGGGGGACGGGCCCGAAAGGCAGCGGCGGCACCGCGUCCGGUCCUCGAGCGUAUGGGGCUUUGUCACCCGCUCUGUAGGCCCGGCCGGCGCUUGCCGAUCAACCCAAAUUUUUAUCCAGGUUGACCUCGGAUCAGGUAGGGAUACCCGCUGAACUUAAGCAUAUCAAUAAGCGGAGGA